CAGGGAAGGUCUGUUGCUCAAGAUGGAGCAGAAACAUUAAGAAAAUCCAAUGGCAAAGGCAAGCCUGGUAGUGUAGUGGUUAAGUUUACAUGCUCCACUUUGGUGGCCUGGUGUUCACAGGUUCAGAUCCUGAGUGUAGACCUACACACCAUUCAUCAAGCCAUGCUGUGGCAGCAUCCCACUCCUAAAAUAGAGGAAGACUGGCACAGAUGUUAGCUUAGGGACAAUCUUCCUCAAGCAAAAAGAGGAAGAUAGGGAAGAGAUGGUAGCUCAGGGCCAAUCUUCCUUAACAACAACAACAAAAAAAACCAAUGGCAAACAAGACCCCACCCCAAACAGGAGGUAAUGCUAGAGGAAUUUGAAGCCGGGGAUAUAGUGAAUGAACCCACAGCAACAGCAAAACCCAAACCCUGCUCACUUCUGAAUAGACUGACCUAACACCCCACAAUAACAGCCUAGCAGAAGACAGGUAGACCCAUUUCCAAGCAGAAAUAGUAGUUAUCUCACUCUCUACUGUUCUACACAUGAUACUCACUAUUCAAUGAAAAAUACAAAAAAGCAAGAACAAAACAACCUACUGACGAGAGAAAAAGCAACUGAUAGAUCCAGAGAUGACCCAUAUGUUGAGCCACCAUAUAGUAAAUUUAAAAUCACUAUAACAAACAUGUGAAAGGCUCUAGCAGGAUCGGAGGUCAACAUGCAUGAACAGAUAUUGAAUUUCAGUGGAGAUAUGAAAACUAUAAGAAAGGGUCAAAUGACAAUGCUAGAAACAAAUACACAGAAACAAAAGAAGAAUGCCCUCAACUUUUACUUUAAUAGACAUGAUACAGCUAAAUAAAACAAUCUGCAACCUUAAUGAUAGGUCAAUAGAAAUUACCUAAACUGAAAUACAAAGAGACAGAGACUGAAUGAAACAGAUGAGAGCAUCCAAGGGCUAUAAGAUGAUAUCAAAUGGUCUAACAUACACCAACUGAAAUCUAGAAGAAGUUAAGAGAGAGAAUAGACAGAAUAAAUAUUUGAAGGAUGAUGGUUAACGAUUUUCCAAAAAUAAUGAAGCACAUCAAAUGCACAUAUUCCAGAAGCUCAGAGAUUCCCAAGCAGGAUAAAUAAUUAAAAAAAAAUAGACAUAUAUACAAGGCAGUGAAAAGAAAAAAAAAAAAAAAAAGAGAGAGAGAAAGAAAAUAUUAAAAACAACCAGAGAAAAAGGGCACAUUACAUAUAGAGGAAUGAAGGUAAAACUGACAACAGAUUUCUCAUCAGAAAGUAUGAGAAUAAGAAGACAUGUUGAAAGAAAAAAAUUGCAACUGAGAAUUCUAUACACAACAAAAAUAUCCUUCAAAAAUGAGGCAAAUUAACAUCUUUUUCAGACAAAGAAAAGAUGAAAGAAUUCAUUACCAGUACACAUGCACUAUAAAGUGUAAAAGGAAGUUCUUCAGGCAGAAAGAAUAUGAUAUAAGACACAAGCUUAGAUUUAUACAGAGCAUUAAAGAUCUCUAGAAAUGGUUAAAAUGAAAGUAAACACAAAAGAGUUUUUUUAUUUUUAAUGACACUAAUAGAAAAUUGUCUAAAGCAAAAAUAGCACAAAUUUAUCAUGCCUUUAUACACUAUAUAAAAGUAAAAUCUAUAGCAACAAUAGCUCAAAGGCAGGAAAGGUGGAAUUGGAAGUAUACUGUUAUGAGUCUUCAACCUACCUAUUAUGUGAAGAUAGAAUGCAAGUAAUUAGAGAUGUAUACUGCCAAUGCUAGCACAUGAGAUCAAACAUUUUUAAAAAGCAGUAAAAGUAAUAAUCCAAUAAUGGAAAUAAGUAAAAUGGAAGUUAAAAAAUACUCAAUCCAGGGGGCCAGCCCCGUGGCUGACUGGUUAAAUUUCUUUAUGCUCCACUUCGGCAGCCCAGGUUUGCAAGUUCAGAUCCUCAGUGCAGACAUGGCACCAUUUGGUAAGCCAUGCUGUGGUAGGCGUCCCACAUAUAAAGUAGAGGAAGAUGGACAUGGAUGUCGGCUCAGGGCCAGUCUUCCUCAGCAAAAAGAGGAGGAUUGGUGGCAGAUGUUAGCUCAGGGCUAAUCU
rnacentral:lncRNA from 1 species